rnacentral:rRNA from 1 species
UACGUAGGGUGCAAGCGUUAUCCGGAAUUAUUGGGCGUAAAGAGCUCGUAGGCGGUUUGUCGCGUCUGCUGUGAAAACUGGAGGCUCAACCUCCAGCCUGCAGUGGGUACGGGCAAACUAGAGUGCGGUAGGGGAGAUUGGAAUUCCUGGUGUAGCGGUGGAAUGCGCAGAUAUCAGGAGGAACACCGGUGGCGAAGGCGGGUCUCUGGGCCGAAAUUGACGCUGAGGAGCGAAAGCGUGGGGAGCAAACAGG